AAAAAAUAUCUGAACCUUCAACUGAAUGUCACGAACUAACUGGUUCAACUCGCUGGAGAAGUUCCAAUACACUGCUUGCUUUUCUUUUAGCCCUAUCAGUGCCACUCUCUGACAAUUCCCUCAAAACCUCUUCUGCCCCAAGGUCUUUAGCUAAUUUCAGGUAUUGCCCAUCGCCUGUGCACAAUGACCACAGAAUAGCGGCAGCAUUCUCCCGGUUGCGUGGAGAGCUGGUCCGAAUGACCUCUACCAAUACCGGGAUUGGGUCAGCUUGACCAAUUGCCACUUUCCCCUCUGGAUGGCUAGCAAGUAUGGCCAAUAUUGCAAGAGCUUCAUCUACCAUUCCACCGCCAGGAUCCUUCAGCAAUCCUAUUAAUGGUGGCACAAUCCCUGAUCUAACUGCCCUCACUUUGUUUCCUUGAUAGAUUGAAAGAUUAAAUAUGGCAGUGGCUGCGUCCUUCUUUCCUCUUGGGGUCCCUUGGCAGAGUAAGUCAAUAAGUGCUGGGAUGGCCCCAGCUGCUCCUAUUGCAACCUUGUUCUCAUCAACAACCGACAAACUGAAAAGGGUAGCUGCUGCAUUUUCUCUUGCUUCCAUGCUUCCAACUUUCAGCACAUCCACAAUAUCAGGUAUGGCACCAGCAUUUACAAUAGUUCCCUUGUUGGCCUCAUUUAUCGAAAGGUUGAGAAGUGCUGUAACGGCAUGUUCCUGAGUCCGAGAAUCUGGCGAGCCUAGUAGUUCAGCGAGUAGCGGUAUUGCUCCAGCCUCAGCAAUACAGACUCUAUUAUCUGCAUUUCUUUUUGCCAGCAAGCGAAGUUCGCCAGCAGCUGCUCGUUGUUCUUCAGGAUUACCAUUUGCAAGUUUCUGUAACAAAGCAUCAAUAGCGGCUCGGUCACACUCUGAACCACCAACUCCUGAUCUUUUAUUUCUACAACUUCCUUGCUUUUUAGGCAGCUCAACACCAUUGCUCUCACACCAGAAAGCAAUUAGACUCUUUAAAACAUAAUUAGGCGUUAAGGCUGUAUGCAAUAAAGUCUGCUGAGUCUUGGGGCAUGUUUUGUGUCCUGCAUCAAGCCAUUUUUGUAUGCAGGAUCUUUCAUAUGUCUGAAAAAGAAAGAAGAACAAACAGCAGUUAAAAAAAAUAUGGUAAAACAUGCAAAAUAAUAAAUUGUUGCAAGUUACAGUGAGGUAAAAACCUGUCCAGUUGAUACAAUAACAGGAUCUUUCAUAAGCUCAAGCGAUAUUGGACAACGAAAAUCAUCUGGGAUAACCGGGGACCUGAGCUUCACAAAGCUCUUGUCACCUUCAGGGGCAUCAAAGUCGGGGUUCUCCAUCAAUACACAAUCCUUUAGCUUUCUUAGGAGUAGUGACAUUGUUUCAAAGCGCUCAUCAGGAAGCCCGCCAUGUGUAAUAACCAUAUCAUGGAUAGCAAGUGAUUCUCUCUUUAGAUCAUUUAUAGUUCUAAGAUGUAGCUUCUCUGAUAGCCUCUUUAAAAUUGCAGGAUCAGGGUUUCUUUCCCUCUGCGCUAUAGUCAAAUCCAUUUCAAGUUGUAAAUCAGGUGACUCCAUUCUUCCUUUUGCUCUUCUGAAUUGUGUAUGCACAAGUUCAAUCUGGAACAAACAAAAAUAGCCAAUUGUUGUCAAGAUAAAGAAAGAUACGAACAGGACAUGCUGAGGGUGUUCCAAAAUUACAACAAUCUUUAAAUAUCAAUUCAUUAGCUUGUUACCUGUUCUUGAACUUCCUCUGUUAUAUCAAGCGUCGUGUAAGGAACGUGACAUAGUGCUUCUUCAAUCAGUUCUGUUAUCUGAUGAAACUUGACUGUAAUUUGUUCCAACUGCAGAGCCUGUAACACGGAGAACAGAGCAAAAUUAAAGCCACAUUCUUAAUUUCCAAGUUUAAUACUUUUAGAUGGAUAAGCAACUUAAGAUGAAUUAGAAAGACGAAAGCCUUAGACAUAGCAGGAAAAGCCCAUCUUUUUAGCAUCUAAGAUCAGAAGAAAAACAAGAAAAUCUUCGUUUUUUCCUCCCCAAACAAACAGCCAACAAAAUUACUUUAUACAUGAUACCAAUUUGCAACAUACAUCUAUGUUUGAAGUUCAGCAAAAUAUCGAAAAGAUGGAUUCUUUUCUCUUUUCCUACUUCUGGGCAAUCAAAUAGACACACAGAACUAGAACUUAAGCUACAAUAGCAACGAAGCUAAAAUUAGACGGAAAAAAUGAUUAGAAUAGAAAGAGCAAUACCUGUAAGAUCUUACUGCCUUCAUGGACUGAUUUAAGAAGCUCCAGAGCCGAGUUAAGAGCAAUUCUCAACAGCUCAAGCCCUCUUACGACAUCGUCCUGGAGCUCCUCUUCACCGUCCUUCAAUUCCUCAAACAGAGGGCUUAAUAACUUGAUUCUCCUAACCAAAUUACAAUAGAUCUUCUUGACUACCGCUCUGCACUCGGGAAGAGUAGAAACUGUCCGUAUUGUCUCACUGAGCUGGCUCAGUAACGCCUCUUGUGAAUUUCCCCUGGGACUCAUAGGGCUCCGGAGCUAAAUUUGAGGUCCUCUUGAGAAUUUGGGCAGUGCCCAGAUGAUAAAAAAUGAAAGAAUAUUGGUAGGUGAAGGCAGGUUCUAGCUUUCAGGUUGGUUUGACCCGGAAAUUCAAGAAAAUUCAGGGGAAAAAAAAUCCGAGAUUGAUGGAUUUUCAGAUGAUUAACGAUUGACUUUGAGGGAUUAAUGGAGAGAAAGGGAAGAGGAGGAGAUGAAUUAUAGGAUGGAGUUUUAGGUGUGAAGAGCGAAAGCAAACU
rnacentral:lncRNA from 1 species